UACAGAGGUCUCAAGCGUUGUUCGGAUUCAUUGGGCGUAAAGGGUGCGUAGGUGGCAUGGUAAGUCGGAUGUGAAAUCCCGGGGCUCAACCCCGGAACUGCAUUCGAUACUGCCAGGCUAGAGUACUGGAGAGGAGAUUGGAAUUUACGGUGUAGCAGUGAAAUGCGUAGAUAUCGUAAGGAAGACCAGUGGCGAAGGCGGAUCUCUGGACAGUUACUGACGCUGAGGCACGAAGGCCAGGGGAGCAAACGGG
rnacentral:rRNA from 1 species